rnacentral:rRNA from 1 species
CCCGAACGCUGGCGGCAUGCCUAAUACAUGCAAGUCUAACGAACACUUCGGUGUUAGUGGCGCACGGGUGCGUAACGCGUGGGAAUCUGCCCUAGGGUUCGGAAUAACAGUUGGAAACGACUGCUAAUACCGGAUGAUGACGAAAGUCCAAAGAUUUAUCGCCCAGGGAUGAGCCCGCGUAGGAUUAGCUAGUUGGUGAGGUAAAGGCUCACCAAGGCGACGAUCCUUAGCUGGUCUGAGAGGAUGAUCAGCCACACUGGGACUGAGACACGGCCCAGACUCCUACGGGAGGCAGCAGUAGGGAAUAUUGGACAAUGGGCGCAAGCCUGAUCCAGCAACGCCGCGUGAGUGAUGAAGGCCUUAGGGUUGUAAAGCUCUUUUACCCGAGAUGAUAAUGACAGUAUCGGGAGAAUAAGCCCCGGCUAACUCCGUGCCAGCAGCCGCGGUAAUACGGAGGGGGCUAGCGUUGUUCGGAAUUACUGGGCGUAAAGCGCACGUAGGCGGUUAUUCAAGUCAGAGGUGAAAGCCCAGUGCUCAACACUGGAACUGCCUUUGAAACUAGAUAGCUUGAAUCCAGGAGAGGUGAGUGGAAUUCCGAGUGUAGAGGUGAAAUUCGUAGAUAUUCGGAAGAACACCAGUGGCGAAGGCGGCUCACUGGACUGGUAUUGACGCUGAGGUGCGAAAGCGUGGGGGAGCAAACAGGAUUAGAUACCCUGGUAGUCCACGCCGUAAACGAUGAUAACUAGCUGUCUGGGCACAUGGUGCUUAUGUGGCGCAGCUAACGCAUUAAGUUAUCCGCCUGGGGAGUACGGUCGCAAGAUUAA